CAGUCGCCGCGGGAAUACGUAGGUGGCAAGCGUUGUCCGGAAUUAUUGGGCGUAAAGGGCUCGCAGGCGGUUUCUUAAGUCUGAUGUGAAAGCCCCCGGCUCAACCGGGGAGGGUCAUUGGAAACUGGGAAACUUGAGUGCAGAGGAGGAGAGUGGAAUUCCACGUGUAGCGGUGAAAUGCGUAGAGAUGUGGAGGAACACCAGUGGCGAAGGCGACUCUCUGGUCUGUAACUGACGCUGAGGAGCGAAAGCGUGGGGAGCGAACAGGAUUAGAUACCCCGGUAGUCCCUGUCUCUUAUAA
rnacentral:rRNA from 1 species